rnacentral:rRNA from 1 species
UUGAACGCUGGCGGCAUGCCUUACACAUGCAAGUCGAACGGUAACAGGUCUUCGGAUGCUGACGAGUGGCGAACGGGUGAGUAAUACAUCGGAACGUGCCCAGACGUGGGGGAUAACGAGGCGAAAGCUUUGCUAAUACCGCAACGAUCUAAGGAUGAAAGCAGGGGGACGCAAGGCCUUGUGCGUUUUGGGCGGCCGAUGGCAGAUUAGGUAGUUGGUGGGAUAAAAGCUUACCAAGCCGACGAUCUGUAGCUGGUCUGAGAGGACGACCAGCCACACUGGGACUGAGACACGGCCCAGACUCCUACGGGAGGCAGCAGUGGGGAAUUUUGGACAAUGGGCGAAAGCCUGAUCCAGCAAUGCCGCGUGCAGGAUGAAGGCCUUCGGGUUGUAAACUGCUUUUGUACGGAACGAAAAGGCUCUGGCUAAUACCUGGGGCACAUGACGGUACCGUAAGAAUAAGCACCGGCUAACUACGUG